GGGAGUUUAGCUCAGCUGGGAGAGCAUCUGCCUUACAAGCAGAGGGUCAGCGGUUCGAUCCCGUUAAUCCCA
rnacentral:tRNA from 1 species